rnacentral:rRNA from 1 species
GACGUAGGGGGCCAGCGUUGUUCGGAAUUACUGGGUGUAAAGGGUUUGUAGGUGGCUUGCUAAGUCAGACGUGAAAUCCCUCAGCUUAACUGGGGAACUGCGUCUGAGACUGGCAAGCUUGAGUGCAGGAGAGGAACGCGGAAUUCCAGGUGUAGCGGUGAAAUGCGUAGAUAUCUGGAGGAACACCGGUGGCGAAGGCGGCGUUCUGGACUGUAACUGACACUGAGGAACGAAAGCCAGGGGAGCAAACGGG